UGGAGCCACUUCUACAUUCGACCUCUUCGA
rnacentral:piRNA from 1 species